CACGUAGGGGGCGAGCGUUAUUCGGAAUUAUUGGGCGUAAAGGGCGCGUAGGCGGCUAGGCAAGUCAGGGGUGAAAUCCCGCGGCUCAACCGAGGAACUGCCUUUGAAACUGCGUGGCUUGAGGCCGGGAGAGGGGGGUGGAAUUCCCAGUGUAGCGGUGAAAUGCGUAGAUAUUGGGAGGAACACCAGUGGCGAAGGCGGCCAACUGGACCGGUACUGACGCUGAGGCGCGAAAGCGUGGGGAGCAAACAGG
rnacentral:rRNA from 1 species